AUCUCCGGCUGAGUGGUAUAGUUGGUUUGGCCUGCCCGCUGAGGAUUGAAGGGCUGCAGUAUUGUGACUGUACAAAGGUAGCAUAAUAAUUAGUCUUUUGAUUGAAGGCUGGUAUGAAAGGUUAGACGAGGAGGAGCUCUCUUGGUUUUAGAGGAUGAAGUUGUUUUCAGUGUGAAAAGGCACUGAUGGCGGAGAGGGACAAGAAGACCCUUUUAAACUAAAGUUGUGUAGGCUAGAGGGGACUAACCAUUUACUCUUCAGUCUGAAUUACUUUGGCUGGGGCGGCAAGUGGUAAACAGCAUGGCAGCUAGUUAGGGGUACCUGAAUAUUUGUAUGAGCCUGAAUAAGGAUAGAGAGAAUAAGUUACUAAAGGGAUAACAGCGUCAUACCUCUUAGAGUUCUUAUUGAGGGAGGUGUUUGCGA
rnacentral:rRNA from 1 species